UAUACGCAUGCGCGAAGCCGUGCUCAUUCGGUCGCUGAUCGGGCAGUGACAAACCAAUACAAAGCACCAUUUUAGAAAGACUUGAAAAUUGUGUACGGUACUCAUAUUACAAUUAAAAAAAGAUCAAAAAGCGCGAGACUCCGUUGUCUUUCCAAAGAAAAACGAAUAUAAAGACUUUCAGUAAGAAGACUGAAAAUCUCUCCACAUAUGGGCACAGGCAAACUGUUGGCCAGAAAACGCACAAAACCUAACGGUGAUUGCUUUGCUGAUGCAACUGAGGGUGGUUGUCUUUAAGCUUGAACAGAAGACUGCAUCCACAUAAGAAUACAGAAACUGAACAGCAGGAAAAUAGUCUACUGUUCAGAGAACAGCUGACGACUGUGACAGCUAGAGAUGGUCAAGGCCUUUAAAAAGAUCAUCUUUCACCAAGCAAAACACCCGAAGACCUGCUGAUUCUGAAUGCAUUUUACUAAUUUUAAUCGACAGGUUUCCUUUAUUAAGGGUGAUCAGCUAUAUAUACUCAUUGACCACUUCAUUAGGGACCCUGUUAACAAAAGUGAUCAAUAACUCCUCUGGAUGCAACUCAGUAUAAAAUUCACCGACAUCAUCAAGAAGUUCAGUUACUGUUUGACUAAGCUGUAGAAUGGGCAAGAAGCAUGAUCUGAGUGAGUUUGAACGCGGCAUGAUUGUUGGUGCCAGACGUAGCGGUUCCAGCAUCUCAGAAACGGCCGCCCUCCUGGGAUUUUCACGUACUACUGUGGCUAGAGUUUACAGAGAAUGGUGUAAUAACAAUAAAACAUCCAGUCAGCGGCAGCUCUGUGGGCGAAAACACCUUGUGGAUGAGAAAGGCCAGAGGAAGAUGUCCAGAAUCAUUGACGGCAACAGGAAGGCUACCAUUGCAAAAAUAACAGCUCAGUACAACAGUGAUGAGCAGAAAGGCAUCUCUGAACGCACAACUCGUCGAACACUGAAACGAAUGGGCUACGUGCACAGAAGACCACUGAAGGCCAGAACAGCAUCCUCCCAAACAACAGAAAUUACUAAGUAGAUUCACUUGUCUACCUUUUGUCGAUGGAAAAAGUCUCAUGUCGUGUUAUAGCAUCUCAAUCACUCAUUGUUAAUACUCACAGUGGCUUAUCAAAAAUAUAUUGGUUAUAGUUCUGGAAAUGUGUUCAGUUGCAUAAUUUACUUACCUAUUCUAUUAAUGUCUGUAAGACUACAUGUAAGGAUCCAAGUUCUGAGAAAAAACUGGGCAGCAGGCAUUGAACCUUCUGCAAAAAUACCCUCCAACCAUAUAUAAUCAAAUGCAAAUGGAAUUACUUCAUACACUGAAAAUGCAUGUAACUAUCUUAACAGUCCAAAUAAAAUUCUAAACAAAUGUA